AGGCAGCGCUGAUGCAAGCACAAAGCUUCUUUUGAAUUAAUAGAUGAGCACUGGGGUCAAUUUAUCAGACCUACAAGGAGAGAAGAAAUGAGCUCAACAAGCGGAGGAAUGAUCUGGAAUACAAAGACAGUUUUCUAAAUUUUAGGCAUUACAAUUAGAACAUAUAAUACAUUGGAUUCUCUCUUUUAUUUAAAUUCUUUGUACAUAGAUUAGGCUGGUCUGUUCUAUGACCAAAUGUAGUAUUUCUAAAUACAGUACUU
rnacentral:lncRNA from 10 species